AACUUGCCAAUAUAGGGGAGUUCACAUCGAUUUCCGAAGAACCGGAAGCGAACAGAAGUCAUUCAACAUCGUAUAAACAUAGACACGUCGUCAACAACUCAGUCAACAACAACACGCAGGCGCCGCAUCAAUACACGUGGCGCCCCCUCGCACCAAAUCGAGGAACCUUUCAGUGGCAUUUCGUUGGAUGUGAUUUCGCUCGUGCGUGGGCUGAACCUCUUCGUCAGUGGUCUUUAUAUGUAGUGGACGGAUAGCUACUGUAGUUUAGGAUACAUUUUCGCAGGGAGUACUUGGAUACACAGAGAAAUGAAGCUUCUAAAUGUGGCGUGCCUGUGCCUUUUUAUAGUGACGCUUUCGUCUUUCAUUCGCCAAACGAACACACAAUGCACCAACCUUUGCUUGACAGGACUCUCGGCCUGUGUUGGUUCAUGCAAGAAGAACUGUUCACACGACUGUGCGCGCCUCUGCCGGCGGAAAUUACGGAAAUGCAAUGCCUUGGACGAACCACGAGAAUAUUGUGAAAGGUACGCGGGCGGCUGUGCAAGUUAUUGUUAUAGAAGAAAGUGCGUUAAAAAUUACUGCAAAAAGUGCCGGGGUGCCUACGCCAGAUGCUGGUAUUGCUAUUAAAGUCAACAUACUCGUACACCCGUAGAUUUGUAGAACUGUCGGAGUGUAUCGGACAUACAACAUAAGGACCUAGAAACGAGGAUGAUUCCUGAGUCAUCAUGCUAGUCCCCAUUAGACACUGAUAGUGCUGUGACUAUUUCCUAACAUUCAACAGUCAAGGACCAAGAUUCGAGGAUGAAAAUGUUAUAACAUAUAUUUUUCGUGUUCGUGUUUUAUACACACUGUCGUAAUUCGCGUCCCGCUCGGGAGAUGUAGUGCAUUGAUAUGCAGUAGAAUAUAGUAGGAAGCAGAGGGAACGAGGAUACCAUAUCUAGAAGAAAAGAAUGACCAGCGGACCUUUUUCUGACGCGUAGGCGAGUAAACGUCUUUAGCGCGAGAUGUUUGUGGAUGGGUUUUCGAUUCCGCUGAAGACGGUACGAAUUCUAAAUUAUUUCUGAUUUAAGCGCCCUUUCCUUCACCCAGUUACAUUUUUAUAGGAACUCUGAAAAACUAUCAUGUAGAAGGUCAAUCCGGCUAAAGCAAUAGAUAUCGUUAGGAAAGUCUGUGGUUUCGAGAACACGAAAUUUGCUGUUCCCAAACCACUGAACUUACACGUUCAGAACGGCUAUAGUUUGAGAAACAUGAAAUUCCAUGCCCCCAAACCACUCGGCUGAACUUACACCUUCGGAAAAUCUGUGGUUUCGGGGACACGAAAUUCGUUGCUCCCAAACCACUGAACUUACACGUUUCGGAAGGUCUGUCGUUUCGGGAACGAAAUGCGUGUUUCAGGAACAUGACCUUCGAUGCCCCCAAACCACGAGCAACCUGGCUGAUUGCUCCGCUUGAUACUAGUUGUACCUGCCCCGCCUCUAUCUGUCUAACCAGUGCGGACGAGUAUACGUUGAUUGCUGGAUUUUGUGGCGUGCCUCAGCAUUGUACUCCUUAUGACUCUGCCAUAUUUCAUCACCGCCCAAUGCACGAACUAUUGCCUGACUGGACUAUCAUCCUGCGUCGGUUCCUGUCGAAAGAGCUGUUCACAUCAGUGCGAGGGAUUCUGUAGGCGCAAAUUACGGAAGUGUAACCGCUUACGCCGAAACCGCUGGAAAAAUUGCGACAUUUAUUCCUAUGGUUGUGCCUCCUAUUGUUACCGACGAAAGUGCAAGUACAACGUUUGUAGAAAAUGUAGGACGGCCUAUGCCAGGUGUUGGAAUUGCUGAGUCAUCAGCCUCGUCCCCCGAUGCCUUUAGUUUUGGAAAAUUAUUUCGUGUACAUACGAUUGUAGGACCUAGAAACCAGGUUGAUGCGGCAGCGAAUCGCCGAAAUAUUAAGGAUUAUAUUUUUUCAGUUCGGAUGUUUUUAGAGCUCCCUGUAGCGAAUCUCGUCCCUAGUUGAGUAAGGCUGUGCAUUGAUCACACGCAGCUAAUAAAGCGAAUAACGGUGGAGGUGGUUUGUCUGGCCUGCCUUAGCCUUGCCCUCAUCGUGACCCUCUCGCCUUUAAUCCAGCAGACCACCGCCCAAUGUACCAACAGCUGCCUCAGCGGGCUGUCAGCCUGCGUGGGGUCAUGCAGGAAGAACUGUUCCCACUACUGUGGGCGUCUCUGCAAGAGGAAGUAUAGGAAAUGCAAGGCAAGGAAAGACCACAAAAGAAACUGUGACAUCUACUCGCACGGUUGCGCCGUCUAUUGUUACAGAGUGAAAUGCAAGACGUCGAUUUGUAAAAAGUGCAGGACAUCUUACGGCCGAUGUUGGAACUGCUGAGUCGUUAGCCUCGUUCCUAUGGCGCUCCGUUAGGACAUUAAUUAUUGAUUGUACGUGCAAUAUAGAAGGACCUAGUUUCCAGUAUGACGUGGAUUUAGACUUUGGAUUAUUUGUGGACAUUUUUGGAUUAUUUGAUUCGAAUUUUAGGAUGCUGAUUAACCCCGUCCCGUUCGGAUGUAAAUGGAAUUUUGCAGUGCAUUAUUCUGAAGUAGAUCAUGUCAAGAAGCAGCUGGAGUGAGGGUGGCAUUCCUUGCUGUUAAAUACGUGGAAUAUUGUUGAAAUCUAUUCUACGUCAAAUGACGCCACCCAACCUCAUGUUUUGUUGUAAGAGAAUGUGGUCUUAUUUUAAUAUUGCUAGACGAGUGACCUUUCUCACACAAAACACGGAAUACCAAGUGUGUAUACGGAAUUUUUGAUUGCUAACAAACAUCAUAAAAAAGCUCAAGUCCUGAGCGCAGUGGCCGUUGUAUCCGGCCAACAAUCUGGAUGACACUUCAACGCGACUUCUUCGAACAAAUACUGGAACUGUUACAAUUUUUUUCUUUUUGUUUGCAAUCGGUUGCAUCAUUUCGAUAAACUGUCUUCAAUGUUUUAUGUUUAUUGAUUAAGCCAGAUCACAGCUAUUACUGCGCAUGUCAAAACUAGUGUUUAGACUGUGGGAGUGCCUGGAAGAGGUAGUUUGUAAAAUAUGGAAUUCCGCCGCCAUUUUUUUCAUCUUUAUCUUCUCAAUCUUGAACAGGAGAUGCUCAAUACACGUAACCUAUCCUCUGUGUGCCUUCUGUAGAUUCAAGUGGAGAGGUUUUUCGUCUAAAGUUGUGAUAUACGUAGUGCUGUAAAAUGGCGGCUGUGUUUACAGUCAGAAAAUCACGUGGCUGGGCAUGCGCAGUAGUGACUGUGAACUGGCUUGUUAAGUUUAAUUCUUUGACCACCUACGUCCUCCACGUCACCAUGUUCAUAGACACGUGAAAUACAAGGAAAAUACAAUUGAUAACACGAAAUUUGUACUUGUUCUGGCUCUGACUUAGUCGUCUUGUGUCGAGUUUAACCCACGAAUACAUUCUCCCGAUUGUACUAGCCUAACACCGUAAGCCCCUCACCCCCGACUGGCGCUAAUGCGGUCUAAUUCUUAAUGAUUAGAUUGUUGAAAUCCGCGACAGGAUUUUGUCGUGACACGUUCUGCUGUCUCGUAAUAGACUGAUAGGCUAAGUUUUAAAUGUUCAA